rnacentral:rRNA from 1 species
AUCGAUGAAGAACGCAGCGAAAUGCGAUAAGUAAUGUGAAUUGCAGAAUUCAGUGAAUCAUCGAAUCUUUGAACGCAACUUGCGCUCCUUGGUACUCUGAGGAGCAUGCCUGUUUGAGUGUCAUUAAACUUCUUCUCAACCCAUCCAGUUUCUCUGUGUGUGGGCUUUGGACAAUGGGGGCUUGCUGGUUGCUAUUUUUCCAGCUCUCCUGAAAAGCAUUAGCGGCAUCUGGGCUGCUUGCAGGUGUGAUAACUCGUCUACACCUUUGCAGUGGCUGCAUUUGUGCUGCUUUAGAGGGCAUUGAUGAAAUUUGACCUCAAAUCAGGUAGGACUACCCGCUGAACUUAAGCAUAUCAAUAAGCGGAGGAAAAGAAACUAACAAGGAUUCCCCUAGUAACUGCGAGUGAAGCGGGAAAAGCUCAAAUUUGAAAUCUGGCGGUCUUUGAUCGCCCGAGUUGUAAUCUAGAGAAGUUGUUACCUGUGCAGGACCAUGUACAAGUCUCCUGGAAUGGGGCAUCAUAGAGGGUGAGAAUCCCGUCUUUGACAUGGACUACCUGCAUGUUGUGGUGCGCUCUCAAAGAGUCGAGUUGUUUGGGAAUGCAGCUCAAAAUGGGUGGUAAAUGCCAUCUAAAGCUAAAUAUUGGCGAGAGACCGAUAGCGAACAAGUACCGUGAGGGAAAGAUGAAAAGAACUUUGGAAAGAGAGUUAAACAGUACGUGAAAUUGCUGAAAGGGAAACGCUUGAAGUCAGUCACAUUGGCCAGAAAUCAGCCUUGCUUCUGUGAGGUGUACUUUCUGUUUGAUGGGUCAGCAUCAAUUUUGAUCACUGGAUAAAGUCUCUGGGAACGUGGCAUCUUCGGAUGUGUUAUAGCCCAUUUUCACAUGCAGUGGUUGGGAUUGAGGAACUCAGCACGCCGAAAGGCCGGGUUUYGACCAUGUUCGUGCUUAGGAUGCUGGCAUAAUGGCUUUAAUCGACCCGUCUUGAAACACGG